rnacentral:rRNA from 1 species
UACCGGCGGUCCAAGUCGCAUCCACAUUUAUUGGGUCUAAAACAUCCGUAGCUUGUUUUGUAAGUUUCUUGUGAAAUUUCAUAUCUCAAAUAUGAAGCGUGCAAGAAGUACUGCAUUGCUAGAGACCGGAAGGCGUAAGGAGUAUGAUUGAGGUAGUGGUAAAAUACGUUAAUCUUAAUCAGACUAACAAUGGCGAAGGCACCUUACGAGUACGGAUCUGACAGUGAGGGAUGAAGGCUAGGGGCGCGAAAGGGAUUAGAUACCCCUGUAGUCCUAGCAGUAAACACUGCUCACUAAACAUCGGUGCCUCCUCGAGAGGCGUCGGUGCUGUAGGGAAGCCGAAGAGUGAGCUACCUGGGAAGUAUAGUCGCAAGGCCGAAACUUAAAGGAAUUGGCGGGGAGGCACUACAACGGGUGACGCGUGCGGUUCAAUUAGAUUCUACACCGCGAACCUCACCAGGAGCGACAGCAGAAUGAAGGUCAGUCUAAAGGGCUUACCUGACGCGCUGAGAGGAGUUGCAUGGCCGACAUAAGCCUGUGUCGUGAGAUGACUUGUUAAAUCAAGUAACAGGCGAGACCCUCGUGUCUAAUUUCUACGCAAAGAGCACAUUAGACAGACUGCAUUGGUAACAAUGAGGAAGGUGGGGGCGAUGUUAGGUGUGUACAGCCCGAAUCCCCUGGGCAACACGCGCGCGGCAAUGUCACAUUCAAUGAGAUGCGACUCUGAAAAGAGAAGCUAAUCUCCUAAAGUGUGGCUUAGUACAGAUUGAGGUUUGCAACCCAACCUCAUGACGAUGGAAUCCGUAGUAAUCGUUCGUUAUCAGCGAACGGUGAAUAUGUCACGGCCUCU